GCGUGUUUCCACUACUGUCUCACCAGCUCUACUUCGCAUCAAGACUGGCACAAUGAAAAGGCCCCCAUCAACAUCAACAUCAGCAGCAGCUUACUGAUCUACAGCUACACCACAGUUUGUCACCGAAAGUCACAUCAGUGUCACGCCCGGGGGACACACAGGAGGCUGAGGCGCCGCUUCUUCUGCAACAAUUAAGUUAAAAGGUUUUUGAGGUUGUGUGAUGAUCUGCGGGGAGGAGCGCACGCACACACUGUUUGACAACUGACAAAUAUGUGGAAUAAGUACCUAAUUUAAAAAACACAAUCACAAACAGCAGUGAUACUAUUUCUAAUAAAUACGAAUGGGUAUAUUUUAUCAUGGGGGGGGGAUCACUCCAGGAGAAUAGGAGGGAGAGGGGCAGAGAAAUCAAACGUGUUGGCAAGCAUGGGAUAUUGUUUAUCAGAAUCAGAUCAUUUAUAUCAUAUAUAAUAUAAUUUUUUUAUCGUUUAUAAUAGAUUCGCUCGCGGCAUGCGGAAAAAAUAGACCAGACGCUAGAGACUGUCGCUGCUGAGCGCGAGCCCAUUUCCUGCUUCCGCGUGCUCUGUGUCCCUGUAGACAAAAUGAUCGGCUGAGCUGAGGAUGUGGCUUUUAGGUUCAUUUCAGCGAAAUCGCACUGUAAAACAUUUUGUGUAUUUGUGUAAUUUUUUUUUUUUUUUUUUUUUUUUUAACAAAAAUCAUUCUGACUACUGAAAUGUGGUUUAUGACCUCAAAUUUCCCCAAAGGUAGAAACAGACAUUACCUUUCCAGCGGUGGCUGUCCAGUCCUUAACCCAGAGUGUUAGAAUCAAACAGAUACAUACCACAGAAUGACAACUCACAAACGCUCACAUGGAGCAGUAAGAGAGAGGAAAUAGGAAAUAUUGAUUUGGUCACUGUCCUUUUAGCACUCUGCAAAUAUUAGUUAACCAAUAACAGGGAGGGAUGAUUUGAAUGACAGAAAAUGGUGCCAUAGAUGAUCCCAUUUAAAAACAAGCACACCUUUGUUAAACUAUUUGUUAGGCAAUAUUUUUGGCCUGUCAGACUUUAAUAGUAUGGCAAAUUAUUCUUACAUACCAUAUAAAGUAAUAACUGUUAUCUAGCUAUCCAGUAUUGCUUCAUAACAUGUCUGGAGAUUGGUAUGACCUUUGCACCAGAAUUUAGCAAGAACACUGCAGGCUUGUUUAAAUUAGCUUAUAUUGUCGGAUUUGGAUCCUUUCUAGUCACUGGCAUAUUUGUCUAAACAACAAGAUUUUGUGAAAAACUCAACAUAUUAGUCUCUAAUUCUAGGGAAUUAACUAUCAUUUAAGAAGCUACAAGACUGUAAAAUGCUCCAUGUGAAAGGACUCACAUAGCAUAUGUUCAUGAAUGUUCAUGCAAAUAUUGUUUGUACAGACCUGAGCUACUGAAUGUGAAGACAUUUUUAAAAAGCUUGUUUCAGAAGUCCUCAAAAAUAUACAGACAUUUCCACCAGCCAUAUUACUCAUUCUUUCAUAAAACUGAGCGUGAGGCAGGACAUUUGCAAAAAUGGUAAAUAUUUUACCUCAUAGCCAUAACUCCACAAAGCACAACAAAAAGCAUGAGGUCAAAGAUCUAGGUCAUGCACAUUGCAGAUCACAUUUAAAUGAAUGCAAACUCCUUGUAACAGCCUCUCUGUCUCAAACCACCAUGAUCUUGAAAAUUUGGCGAUUUUGGCAUGUCAUUUGUGGUAGGAACAGUAUCACACAGUAUAUUUCCAGCCAUGCCAGACCAGAGCUGGUGGCUCUGGAACCAGGAAAGAUUGUGCGCUUGCAGACACAAGAUUGCUCAGACUUAUUAUGGGCUCAAUCCAUCAUGUGAUAAAGUAGAGACUUGGGGAAACCAAUAGGCUUAGAUUGCUGCUGUCUGUUUCUUAAUGAGGUGGCAACAACAGGAAGUCCUAUUAGAACGAAAUAGAAAUGGUGCUGUACAUGAUCAGCACAGAACAUGAUAUCAGCGUCAUAAGCGGUAAGCAAUGUAGGACAAAGAAAAAAUAAUAUGCUUUAAUAAAGCCAAAAGAAUAAUAAAUAUUAGUAAUAGUAAAUAUAACAGUAUAUAUAUACAGUAUAUAUAUGUACUAUAUGAAAUAAAUAAAUGUACUACAAAACAGCAAAUGGUACCAUAAACAGCAAAGUCAAACAGUUACUCUUUAUGUACUGGCAGCUACUUUUACAAAACUAGUCGUCACCCAGUCUUCUCUGAUGCGUCUAUCUAUAUAUCAACUCACGCCUUUAUACCUGAACACAUCUAGAUUAGUGUGUGUGUUUAUACAUGGACAUACUUGAUAUUUCUGUUUGGGGCUGCUCUGUAGAACUGCAGGAGCAGAGAAAAUGCAGCAAAGCUUUAUAUGUGUGUGAGGGAUCUUGCAAGAUUACACUCUUUCAGAAGGGUUCUUCCUGAAGGGUUAAGGUUGCACCCAGAACCAUUUGCUUCUGAAGAACCCUUUUUUGGAGAAACGGUUGUUCAGGGGUUCUUUGUAAGAACUUUCCAUUAAGAACCCAUUCCACCCAAAGAACCCUUUUUGGAAGAAAGAGUUCUUCAAGAUGGUUGAAAGCAUGGGUGUUAAAAGAUCCUCACCCUCAAUUAUCUGUGUGAUGGCCCACAUUUCCCAUCAUGCCUAGUGCUGGACUGAGUGGUUUGUUCAGUUAGCUGUUUUAUGUUCCAAAAUGCAAAUGUUACUUUUUGUAAGUGUUUGUAAUGUGUCUGUUCAGAACAUGGUGGUUUAUGUGGUUUAGUCAUUUUUGUGCUGGUUUAUAGUUGUAACCAUUAGUGAGGCGGCUUUUACAUUUCUUGAGCUAAGCUGUAUUUCACCACUAUGUUUUUAAAGUUCUUGUAGCUGGUGUUGAAGGUCCUCAAAUGGGGGACAUUGCAGACAGCUGUUUCUUGUCUCUCAAUCCAUGCUGCCUGCUAGUGAUGGGCAAAGCAGUUCUUUUCAGUGUACUAAAAUCAUUAAAAUCGUUUAUUCAGAAGAUUUGUUCACCGAAUCAUUCAGUGCUUGGCCAGAGCUCCAACUGCGUAGUCCCACUUACUUAACUGAAACAUGGCUGAACAUUCAGUUCAGCGUCCCAAAUAGUGAACUAAGAACGGCUGUUCGUGAAGCCAGUGAACUGAGAAUUUAGCUGGAUAAAAAUACCGUUGUUACCGAGUGUCACAAACACCUGUCUACAUCAGUGGAGCUGAGAUGGAGCAGGUGAAUAGUUUUGGGUUCCUGGGAAUCAGCAUCACAGAGAACCUGACAUGGACUUUCUAAAUAAUGUUAUAUAUUGCAGUCCAAGACCAAUGUUGUUGAAUUAUUGCAGCUAAAUGUUAACAACCCGAAGCAGGUGUGUGUUAGCUGUCUUGAACAUACCCCCUUUCUCCUGCGAAGGAAUGACUUGAAUCACUCACUCUGAGUGUGUCCCUGCACGUUCGCUCCCAUGACUAAGACCUCAACUGAAUCAUUUCAGGAAGUGAGCAGGUUGUGCGUCAUGCAUACACUGUGGACAAAAGAGAAGUGAUUAGCCUAAGGUAUGGUUAAGGUCAGCAUCGCACAUGAUCAGAUUUCAUACAUUCUGCCAGAUUUCUCAUUUCAGUAAGAAUUCAGUUACAUAUGCCAGGCUUCUUGGUACUGUAGUCAUUGAAAAUCCUUUGUAUGGUAUUGUGCUUUGUUCCUGUGAACAUUUCAAACUCAAAAGAAUUGAGGCAGCAUGAGCUCAGCUUUUCUGAAACAAUUAUGCAAGACUCUUAGGGAUUAAAUUAGAUUUUCUACCCCUGUUCACUGACCUUUUAAUGCCAUUUGCUUUGUUGAUUUUUGAUCAGAAUCACCCAUUAAUGCAGGCUUAAUACAAUUUGUGCCAGACAAAAAGUAAGCAUUAUCAGUCCAGGAAGGCAGGAAGAAACUGAGUCAUUUGUUUACUCAUUGAGGGGUUUUUUUUAUAGGGGCAUUUGCUUUUUAAAGGAAAAGCUCAACUCUAGUCCAGUCAUGACAUAAUAACAUAAUACAAGGCAGUUUAGCUUGUCACAGACAGGGGGGCCCCUUGUGGACGGUUUGACACAAGAAUGAAAUUUGGCAUGAUCCAAAGGUAACGUUGGUGACUGGUGACAUUCAGAGUCAACAGCCCAAUGAGGGAAAAUGGGCUGAAAAUACAGAGCGAAGGACAGUAAAAGAAGAGAUCUGUGGCUUCAGGCCAUCCACAGAGAAGAUGAAAAUGGUAAACCGUGGGACCCGGCCAUUCGAUACGUGUAUCUCUGUGGCAAACACUUCAUCACAGCUGGCCGCCCACCCUGAGUCUGGUUCUGCUCGAGGUUUCUGCCUCUUAAAAGGAAGUUUU